rnacentral:rRNA from 1 species
UACAGAGGUCUCAAGCGUUGUUCGGAUUCAUUGGGCGUAAAGGGUGCGUAGGUGGCGCCGUAAGUCGGGUGUGAAAUUUCGGAGCUUAACUCCGAAACUGCAUUCGAUACUGCGGUGCUUGAGGACUGGAGAGGAGACUGGAAUUCAUGGUGUAGCAGUGAAAUGCGUAGAGAUCAUGAGGAAGACCAGUGGCGAAGGCGGGUCUCUGGACAGUUCCUGACACUGAGGCACGAAGGCCAGGGUAGCGAACGGG